rnacentral:lncRNA from 1 species
GUUUUUUUUUUUUUUUUUUUUUGUUUUUGUUUUUGUUUUUGUUUGUUUGUUUGGGAGAGGUCAUUUCUCGGUCUUGUCUGUGGAGAACCUGUCCAUGGCAUGGUGCUACAAGACAGAAUGCCAUGGUUUGGUUCAGUGUGGCCUAAGGUCCAGUCCUGUGUUCUCUUCUCUCCGACUGGCAAGGGCAGACAUGGCCAGCGAGAAGCUGUUCCCUGAUCAGCUUCAGGGCGAGAGUUUGGCCAUCCAUGUCAGCAGUUACUUCUUGGGAGUUAACAUGAGCUCCCCGCCACCCUGGCAGUCACAGGAUGGUGAGCAGUACCACUCCACUUCUAGCUAGCUGAUCUACCUUUAAUCUCAGUCUUGCAAGAGGCUGGAUUUUCACCGUGUCAGCAGAGGCCAGGAUGUAAUAUGGUGACAGCUUGUUCAGCUCUCUUUUUUUAAAAAAUAAAUAUGUUUUGUUACAUUUUCA